GGGCUGGCUUUAGCUCAGCGGUUACUUCGAGUGUCCUCCAACCACCUCUCUGGGUGGUUCGAGACCCGCGGGUGCUUUCCAGCUCUUUU
ensembl:vault_RNA Vault Vault RNA